AAGUAGCAAUACUUAGUGGCAGACGGGUGAGUAACAUGUGGGUAUCUACCCUUUGGCCUGGAAUAACACGAGGAAACUUGUGCUAAUACUGGAUAAGUCUUUACGGAGAAAGCUUUAUGCACCAAUGGAUGAGCCUGCACUUGAUUAGUUUGUUGGUAGGGUAAUGGCCUACCAAGACUGUGAUCAAUAGCUGAUUUGAGAGGAUGAUCAGCCACAUUGGGACUGAGACACGGCCCAAACUCCUACGGGAGGCAGCAGUGGGGAAUCUUGCACAAUGGAGGAAACUCUGAUGCAGCGAUGCCGCGUGAGUGAAGAAGGCCUUUGGGUUGUAAAGCUCUUUCGUCGGGGAAGAAAAUGACUGUACCCGAAUAAGAAGGUCCGGCUAACUUCGUGCCAGCAGCCGCGGUAAUACGAAGGGACCUAGCGUAGUUCGGAAUUACUGGGCUUAAAGAGUUCGUAGGUGGUUGAAAAAGUUGGUGGUGAAAUCCCAGAGCUUAACUCUGGAACUGCCAUCAAAACUUUUCAGCUAGAGUUUGAUAGAGGAAAGCAGAAUUUCUAGUGUAGAGGUGAAAUUCGUAGAUAUUAGAAAGAAUACCAAUUGCGAAGGCAGCUUUCUGGAUCAAUACUGACACUGAGGAACGAAAGCAUGG
rnacentral:rRNA from 1 species